AUCCAAUCUUUGAGGCUUCAUCAGCCAAAUUUUAUUUCCUGAUGAUAUUCAUCAUUUAUGUGACAAUUUGUAGGUAGAACUUCAAUUCUACCGUGACACUUUUUUUUUUUGCAAUUUUUUUUUUAUCUUAACUCUUUUUAAACUGAAUCACUCUUAUCAUCUUGUUCUUCACUUGAAAGAUCUAAGCUCUAAAUAAAAACAUAGUUAACAAAAUGCUUGCAUUAUACAUUGGGAUCUUCUUGGGGAAAUCUGUCUUGAAUAGUAGUUCACUAAUGGCUAUACAUAUGUAGGCUUAUGUCUCCCCUUCACAAAACAAUUACAUUGCAAACUUAUCCAAGUGUCAUUCACCAAAACGAACGGUCACGUGAUAAUAUUGAUAGAAUACGAGGAAAAAAAACUCACUUGUUAACCAUUGUUGAUUAAAAUUAGAUCGUAAUUUGUAUCGACGAGAUAGAGAAGCACGUGACUCUAUGUUUUUUGUUUGUGAUUGGUGGAUGAGGUCUUUUAGAUAGAUAGAUAAACUCUGCUAUGUCAUUAGUUUUCUUGGUUGAUUCAAGCAAACUGUUUCAUUCUCUAAUAGCGCAAGAGCAGAAAGGGAACUCGUAAGAAUUUGUCCUACGGAGAGACACACUUUAGGUGACUGCUAGUGAACGCGCAAUUGUGACAACAUUAAUUAAAAGGGAGACUGCACGUUAGAUAUAGAUAAACAGACAGUUAAUGCUAGGCUUUGAUAGAAGCAACAUCUUUUGUUAUAGUGACUUAUAUAGUGAUACUAUUUGAUCUACACCUGUUGAUUUAAUUAAUGUAAAAGUCUUGUUCUGUAAGUCUGUUGAUACGAACUCACGAGUAAUGCUACUCGUACAGAAACAAUCUUCUGAUCAGCACAAACUUUUACAGUCCCAGAUUGGGCAUCUUACACCUAGCACUCGGAAUAAGCCAUCAACACAUUCUUCAUGUGUUCAUUCUGUUCCAUAAUGCGCUAACUUCGGAAACAACACCUUGGACCUUGUUGUCAUUUUCUCUUCAAGGCUUCAUUUGUCAAGCCGAAAUACAAUAUUAGUGUAAGGUAACAACUUUUUUUUUUUGGCAACUCAUUUGUCAAGCGGAAAUACAACAUUAAUGUUAGGUAACAACUUUUUAAAAAAAAAUUUCUUCGCCUUCUGUUAAAAGUGUCAUAAUUAUGGAUUCCGAAUCAAAAAUUUAUAUUUCAAUGGUUUUUUGGUAACACAAUUGAAGUCGUUGAAAACAGAAUAAAAUCUGAUUAACUCAGUUCGAAUGUGAAGAAUUGAACUCGCUUCAUUAAUUGACAAUUCGUGACCACGUGGUACUAGGUACAAGAUAAAAUGAUUAAUUCAAAUUAUAAAUAGAACAUGAAAAUUGAAGCAUAAAAAAAAUAAGACACAAAAUAAAAAACUAGAGAGUAGAUUUCAACUUACCCAAUACAAUAGCGAGCUGUCUCGCUGACUGUUGACUACACGUAGGUUAAGCAGUCAUCACUUAGCGUGAAAGAAAAUGACUGCAGAACUAUUUCGUGUUGAAAAGUCUACAAUAUAUAACUAAUGUAAUUAACCGAAUACAAGAUUCAGUAUUGAACUAUGACAACACUGGAUAGCCCUCGCUGUCUUCAAUGCACUCCAACACGAGUUCAAAUAACUUUGAAACAAAAUCAUCUGAUGGGGACGAAUGAAUAAAUAUUUAUAAAUGUUCACAAAUAAAUGUUCACAAAUAAAUGUUCACAAAUAAAUGUU